UACGAAGGGGGCUAGCGUUGCUCGGAAUCACUGGGCGUAAAGGGUGCGUAGGCGGGUUUUUAAGUCAGGGGUGAAAUCCUGGAGCUCAACUCCAGAACUGCCUUUGAUACUGAAGAUCUUGAGUCCGGGAGAGGUGAGUGGAACUGCGAGUGUAGAGGUGAAAUUCGUAGAUAUUCGCAAGAACACCAGUGGCGAAGGCGGCUCACUGGCCCGGUACUGACGCUGAGGCACAAAGCGUGGGGAGCAAACGG
rnacentral:rRNA from 1 species